rnacentral:rRNA from 1 species
AUUGAACGCUGGCGGCAUGCCUUACACAUGCAAGUCGAACGGUAACAGGUCUUUCGGGAUGCUGACGAGUGGCGAACGGGUGAGUAAUACAUCGGAACGUGCCUAGUAGUGGGGGAUAACUACUCGAAAGAGUGGCUAAUACCGCAUGAGAUCUAUGGAUGAAAGCAGGGGACCUUCGGGCCUUGUGCUACUAGAGCGGCCGGUGGCAGAUUAGGUAGUUGGUGGGAUAAAAGCUUACCAAGCCUACGAUCUGUAGCUGGUCUGAGAGGACGAUCAGCCACACUGGGACUGAGACACGGCCCAGACUCCUACGGGAGGCAGCAGUGGGGAAUUUUGGACAAUGGGCGCAAGCCUGAUCCAGCAAUGCCGCGUGCAGGAUGAAGGCCUUCGGGUUGUAAACUGCUUUUGUACGGAACGAAAAGUCUUGGGUUAAUACCCUGGGAUCAUGACGGUACCGUAAGAAUAAGCACCGGCUAACUACGUGCCAGCCGCCGCCGUAAAAC